GGGAAGGUGACUCAGUGGUAGAGCGCUUGCCUUGCAUGCAUGAGGCCCUGGGUUC
rnacentral:tRNA from 1 species